AUAUAUUCAGUACAUAUUCUGAAACUAGAACGAUACAGAGAUGAUUUGUGUGUCCUCUGCGCAAGGACGACACGCAUAUUCGUAAAGUAAUCUUUUAUUUU
rnacentral:snRNA from 1 species